rnacentral:rRNA from 1 species
UUGGUUCUACCUUAAGGCAAAGGUUAAAACCUUUGACCACGGUAUAGUCAGCGACUGGGGUGUAGUCGUAACAAGGUAGCCGUAGGGGAACCUGCGGCUGGAUCACCUCCUUUCUAAGG